rnacentral:rRNA from 1 species
GACAGCCAGGAUGUUGGCUUAGAAGCAGCCAUCAUUUAAAGAAAGCGUAAUAGCUCACUGGUCGAGUCGGCCUGCGCGGAAGAUGUAACGGGGCUAAACCAUGCACCGAAGCUGCGGCAGCGACGCUGAUGUGUUGUUGGGUAGGGGAGCGUUCUGUAAGCCUGUGAAGGUGGCCUGUGAGGGUUGCUGGAGGUAUCAGAAGUGCGAAUGCUGACAUAAGUAACGAUAAAGCGGGUGAAAAGCCCGCUCGCCGGAAGACCAAGGGUUCCUGUCCAACGUUAAUCGGGGCAGGGUGAGUCGACCCCUAAGGCGAGGCCGAAAGGCGUAGUCGAUGGGAAACGGGUUAAUAUUCCCGUACUUGGUGUUACUGCGAAGGGGGGACGGAGAAGGCUAUGUUGGCCGGGCGACGGUUGUCCCGGUUUAAGCGUGUAGGUGUGUGUUCCAGGUAAAUCCGGUUCACUUUAACACUGAGGCGUGAUGACGAGGCACUACGGUGCUGAAGCAACAAAUGCCCUGCUUCCAGGAAAAGCCUCUAAGCAUCAGGUAACAUCAAAUCGUACCCCAAACCGACACAGGUGGUCAGGUAGAGAAUACCAAGGCGCUUGAGAGAACUCGGGUGAAGGAACUAGGCAAAAUGGUGCCGUAACUUCGGGAGAAGGCACGCUGACACGUAGGUGAAGUGAUUUACUCAUGGAGCUGAAGUCAGUCGAAGAUACCAGCUGGCUGCAACUGUUUAUUAAAAACACAGCACUGUGCAAACACGAAAGUGGACGUAUACGGUGUGACGCCUGCCCGGUGCCGGAAGGUUAAUUGAUGGGGUCAGCGCAAG